AUUUGGGGCGUAAGCGUCCGCAGGCGGCCCUUCAAGUCUGCUGUUAAAAAGUGGAGCUUAACUCCAUCAUGGCAGUGGAAACUGUUGGGCUUGAGUGUGGUAGGGGCAGAGGGAAUUCCCGGUGUAGCGGUGAAAUGCGUAGAUAUCGGGAAGAACACCAGUGGCGAAGGCGCUCUGCUGGGCCAUCACUGACGCUCAUGGACGAAAGCCAGGGGAGCGAAAGGGAUUAGAUACCCCUGUAGUCCUGGCCGUAAACGAUGAACACUAGGUGUCGGGGGAAUCGACCCCCUCGGUGUCGUAGCCAACGCGUUAAGUGUUCCGCCUGGGGAGUACGCACGCAAGUGUGAAACUCAAAGGAAUUGACGG
rnacentral:rRNA from 1 species